GCGGCUGCACCACUAGGAUACCCUGAUCCAACAUCGAGGUCGUAAGCCCACCUGUCGAUAGGAGCUCUUGAGGUGGAUUGCGCUGUUAUCCCUAGGGUAACUUGGUUCGUUGAUCAAAAUAUUGGGUCAAUUUAUGUCAGUUUAUUGGUGCUUGAAGUUGUAGUUUUCUGCUCAGAAAAGGUUUCGUUCAAUGUGGAGGUUAAUUUUUGCUCCGCGGUCACCCCAACCUAAAACUAAUAGUCAUAUAUGCUAGAAUAGAUAUUAUAGUUCUGAAAUGUAUUAAUGUAUAAGCUUUUGCUAUAUAGUUUAAAGCUCCAUAGGGUCUUCUCGUCUUAUAUAAUAAUCCCCGCUUCUUCACGGGGAGAUCAGUUUCAUUGAUUAGAAAAAGGAGACAGUAUAACCCUCGUGAUGCCAUUCAUACUAGUCCUUAUUUAAAGAACAAGUGAUUACGCUACCUUCGCACGGUUAGGAUACCGCGGCCGUUGAAUUGAGUCACUGGGCAGGCUAGACCUCUUAUAUUUUGCAAGAGGCGAUGUUUUUGGUAAACAGGCGAGGUUAAUGUUUGCCGAGUUCCUUCUUUUUCUUUUAAUCUUUCUUGAGAUGUUCUGGUGUUAGGUUAACGCUAGGUAAAACAGGGUUUUCUGGUGGAGUUGCUGUUUUAGGUUCAUUAGCAAUAAUUAUCAGUGGUUAGUCCUUUCUGAUUUACACUUACAUUAAAGAGAAGGUCGUCUUCUUAUUACUAGUUUUAACAUAAUAACUUCUAUAGGUCUAUAGAAUGGCUUAAUAUAAAUAAAGGG
rnacentral:rRNA from 1 species